GGACAACAUCCCUAAUGCGCCUUGAAAUGAGGAACUCAAAAGUCACGUGUAAAGAAAAAAUCUCUGUGUAGUGAUAUUGGACAUGUUUCUAUUUUUAACAAAUGACUGAACUUAAUUAUUUGUGGUGAUUAGGAAAGUAGAGGAACAUAGAAUAAAUGUGUAAAAACUAUGGAGCUAUUGAAUGUGUUCAAAGUAUUAAAUUUUCAAAGAACUUAUUGUGUUAAAAAGGGGAUAUUUUACCACAAGGAGCCACAUCACAAACGGAUGUUCGGGGUUUGCUAAUUUACGGAAAAAGUAAUCUCACUUCGUACCCCGAAAAUUUAACCACAUAUGUGAAAAUGUCACAGCUUCGAAACGAGCUAUCAUACAUAUCCAAGUUUACGAUAUGGACUGAGCUACAGGAAAAAACGUUACCAUUAUCGCCUAUGGAAAAACAAUUAAAGAUAUUGAGCCAAUUUACAAAAAGAUAAAUCAGAAGUUUCCAGAGUGAUCUAUGGAUGAUUUCACCUUAUACACCCGGGAAAAUUGUGAAAAUGAUGUUCCAGACAUAUCAUUACUUUUUAACCUGAGAUGACAAACUAGAGGUUUUAAAAGGUCCUGAAUAACUGAAAUGGACAAAAAUACACAGAUUUAUUCAGAAUGUCAUACCGAUGAAGAUCACAUAAAAAUAUUUGGAAAAAUCAGAACUAUGGAUUGCAAUAUGGGACAACAUCCCUAAUGCGCCUUGAAAUGAGGAACUCAAAAGUCACGUGUAAAGAAAAAAUCUCUGUGUAGUGAUAUUGGACAUGUUUCUAUUUUUAACAAAUGACUGAACUUAAUUAUUUGUGGUGAUUAGGAAAGUAGAGGAACAUAGAAUAAAUGUGUAAAAACUAUGGAGCUAUUGAAUGUGUUCAAAGUAUUAAAUUUUCAAAGAA